AUAUAUAUAUAUAUAUAUAUAUAUGUAUAGAGAGAGAGAGAGAGAGAGAGAGAGAGAGAGAGAGAGAGAGAGAGAGAGAGAGAGAGAGAGAGAGAGAGAUGAGAGAAAGAAGGAGGGAGGGAUGGUGGUGGUAGUGGUGGUGGUGGUGGUGCUAGUUGGUGGUGGUGAAGGUGGAGGAGGAGGUGGUGGUGUGGUAGUGGUGGAGGUGUGGGGUUGGUUAGUUCCUUUCUCCUCUCACCCAGGCAUUGUCAGACCGAGGUUCCCCAUCGCUCUCUUGAGAAAAACCCGCUAUCCCCUGACAGCUGCAUGCCGCUUCCCUGCAGCCGAUUGAAGGCAAAGAGAGCUUCUCCCCUCCUCCUUCUCCUCUCUUCCUUCUCUUCUUCCUCCUCCUCCUUCUCCUCCUCCUCCUUCUUUUCCUUUUCCUCCUCCUCCUUUUCCUCCUCCUCCUCUUCUUUCUCUCUCCCUUAGUCCAGAGCCUUGGCAGAAGUCGACUGAACCUCUCUCCCUCCCCCCCCCCCCCCCACCAGGAGCUCUAACUGGUGAGCAGCUGCUGCAGGUCUUCCUGGUGGCGCCUGCUACUGCUGCUGCUGCUGCUGUUGCUGUAGCUGUUGCUGUUGCUGUUGCUGCUGCCGCCGCCGCCGCCGCCUCCUCUGCUGCUGCUGCUGCCGCUGCCGCCGCCGCCGCCGCCGCCGCCGCCGCUGCCCCUGAUCCUGCUCUUACUCCUGUUUCUGACGCUGCUGCUGCCGCCGCCGCCGCCGCCGCUGUUGACUACGCUUGGUUGCUGCGGUAGCUGCGGCCCGGCGCGUUUUCCCCCGGCACACUGGGCGGAAUUGCCUGGAUUUUGCCUGCCGAUGGCCACAGUCAUCUUUGGUCCCUGGGCUAAGUUGCCGCCAUCUUCGUCCUGAAGAAACACUUUUUUGGGGGGAGCUCAGUCUUUUGCGUCAUCUCCUCCCGCGCCGAGAUCUCUCUAUCCUGGCGCAUUGGCAUCAGCUUUUACCCAAGGAGGAAAGGAAAGGAGGAGGGGGAGGAAGAGGUGGGGAAAAGCACUGGGGAAGUAGUGCUUACCCCCCUACUCCCAACUUGGGGUUCCCUUGUCUUAUCCUUCUGCUUCCUCUCAAAAGAAAGUCAAAAUGCAGGAUCAAUGCGUCUUUUAAUGAUUGUGUUUCUCUGCAUCUCCCUUCCCUCCUCCCAAAUACCCCUCUCGUUUCUGCACCUGAAACAACUCAUAGUCCAAAC
rnacentral:lncRNA from 1 species